UAUAUACUAGCGCUGGCCGCCAUCUCGGUCUUUUGAGGCUAGGAGUCGCCGAUCUGCAUGAAUCAUGCUGGGCACGAAUGCAGUCUGGCUUUUGAUGGCUUCUGAUGGACAGUUCUGUGUCAAAGGGGUGGAAGUGGCUGCGGAGGUCCUAAAGUUUCACACCCUCGCCAUGGGCAAAGAGGCACUAAAAGAAGUAGCUGGAAGUUGAAGGGGUGGACUUGAGUCUUAGACAUGUCUGGACCGACCAUUUUUGGGCUUAUAGGCCACUAUCAUGGAGGCUUGCUUGGGGUACUGAGUUUGAAGACGUUUUCAUAUAAAGGUGUGAAGAGUUGGGAGCACCUUACAAAGCCUGGAACAAGGAGUUAUAAGCUAAGGCAGACUUGUCAACCUGAAGAUUUAGAGGGUGUUUAUGAGAGCAGCAAUCCAGUUAUGAGAGCAGCUUACCAGUUGAAAGGCACCUGAAUGGAUGCUUAUGGGAUAGAAGAUCAAAUUUCCAAUUUCAAUAAAUUUUUAUAAACCAUCUGA